rnacentral:lncRNA from 1 species
UAGGUUAUGGAAGUUACUGAAAUUCAAGUAUAUAAAUUUUCAAAUUAUUCUAAACAGAAUUUUAAUUGCUUAUGAUAAGAAAAUUGCUAAGAUUUUCUUUACUGUGAUUUGAAGAAUAUAAAAUAAUUGCAGUCGAAGUAUGAUCAAUAUUUUUUUGUCAUUUAAAAUUUCUUUCAAAAUUAAUAUAAAGCUUUAACAAGGGGAAAAAAAGGAAAAGGAAAAGAGAAUAGCUUUCUGACAGCUUCUCAAGGGGGACACUGAUGGCACCUCGUUUGGAGGCAAACUUUUUUUCACGAAGAUUCAGUGCGGCAAUAAAGACGCUGGCGGAUUUAACGUAGCGUGUCUUCGUUAAGCAAGUCAAACGUAGACCCAACUUUUCCCUUCUUGCUUUCUUGGUUUAAAAUAACUGGUUGCGUUCGAAACCUUCUCAUGUAAAGUUGACUAAACCAUGAAAGAACCUCUACUUUAACUAACUAUAACAUCUAUCGAAUAAAAUAGAUACUGCUAAAAGUUAUUCUCAUCAUCAGAUAAAAUAUGGAAAAGAAGAAGAAAAAUUGAAAAAGGUAUGAUAUCUUCCCCGACCUAUUGGCGCCAAAAUGAUCGUUAAUGUUUCUUUGUCGGUUGUUUUGUUUAAGUUUCAUCUACUCGUCGGAGCAGUUAGAACUUGUUUCCACAACGUCGAGACGUUAGUCUGCCACGAUCAUCGAGGCUCGUAAAAAAACUCGUAAAAUUGUAGCAAUGAUACUACUGUCUGUUGUGGAUCUGGAGAAGGAAAAUUGGUAAAGUUUAGAGAAUCGCUAAUGAUGUCUAUUAUAUGAUUUAGGAGUUAUUCUGAUGUAAGUACUAUCAGAAUACCUAUUGUAAGUAUUGUUGUAGGAAAUUGCCAUAUUUAUAUAUAAACUUACAUGUAACUUAAU